GAUGAACGCUGGCGGCGUGCUUAACACAUGCAAGUCGAACGGUGAAGGCGGAGCUUGCUCUGCUGGAUCAGUGGCGAACGGGUGAGUAACACGUGAGCAAUCUGCCCCUGACUCUGGGAUAAGCGCUGGAAACGGCGUCUAAUACUGGAUACGAGCUGCGAAGGCAUCUUCAGCAGCUGGAAAGAAUUUCGGUCAGGGAUGAGCUCGCGGCCUAUCAGCUUGUUGGUGAGGUAAUGGCUCACCAAGGCGUCGACGGGUAGCCGGCCUGAGAGGGUGACCGGCCACACUGGGACUGAGACACGGCCCAGACUCCUACGGGAGGCAGCAGUGGGGAAUAUUGCACAAUGGGCGAAAGCCUGAUGCAGCAACGCCGCGUGAGGGACGACGGCCCUCGGGUUGUAAACCUCUUUUAGCAGGGAAGAAGCGAAAGUGACGGUACCUGCAGAAAAAGCGCCGGCUAACUACGUG
rnacentral:rRNA from 1 species